rnacentral:ncRNA from 1 species
UCGGCUCAUCCUAUCCUGGAGGGGCAGUACCUUCCAAGGGUCCGGCUGUUCGCCGGUUAAAAGGGUACGCGAGCUGGGUUCAGAACGUCGUGAGACAGUUGACCUGCCAUAACAUUCGGCAGGUGACACUGAGCUGUCUGUCAUUCCACGAUAAUUAUCUUUUUGUCUAUGAUAUUAAGAAUGACUCCCGCAAAUGAGCGGGAAUAAACCUGACUAUAUGCUGGAAACUCUUGUCAAUGUGUUUCUACUAGUAUACGAUUUGUGUACUAGUAAAAAUGAAACACCAUCUGGUGGAUACAGAGCAAGACAAUCAGCAGGAAAGACUAGUGAGUGACGACUAUUUACUCGGAUUUGUUGAAGGUGAAGGUUGCUUCUAUAUCGGAGUAGUCCGGAGCCGGGAAACAAUAUCCCAUUGGCAAGUGAUUUAUUUUUUUAAAGUUUCACAAAACCCAACCGGAAAGCUGGUAUUGGAACAACUUAAAAAUAGAUUGGCUUGCGGGUACAUCAAAGCUAAUUCUUUAUCUGAUAAAUCCGAUAAAAGUUUGGCAUUUGUCGUUCGCGAUCUACCAAGUUUAACUAAAAAAGUAAUUCCUUUUUUCAAAGGAAAACUGCUUACGAAGAAGGCGGAAGAUUUUGAAAAGUUUUGUAGAGUGAUUGAUCUGGUAAUUUCCAGUAAUCAUCUGACAAAAAAGGGAAUUACAAAAAUAUUAGACAUUGCUUAUUCCAUGAAUACUGCGAAACGCAGGUAUUCCAAGCAAGAAAUAUUGGCGGGUUACAACUAGAAUCCCCACAGGCCAUACGUCAGGAUCGGCUUCAGGCCGAACAAGAUAUGGUCGAAUCCUUAUAGUGAUAUAAGGUAGAGAAUGUCGGUCUCUAUCCAGUAGAGUCGUGGAGUUCUUGAGGGGGUCCGACCUCAGUACGAGAGGACCAGGUUAGAGGUACCGCUGGUGUGCCGGUUGUGUCGUCAGAUGCAGCGCCGGGUAGCUAAGUGCCUACGGGAUAACCGCUGAAAGCAUCUAAGUGGGAAGCCCUACCCAAGAUUAGGAACUCAUCCCCGCCGCAAGGCGUGGUGUCAACCCGGGGAAGACAACCCCGUAUAAGAGGCUGGCAGUGUAAGCGCGGUAACGCGUUUAGCUUACCAGUACUAAUCGGUUGAUUGAAGUAUCUUU